AGAGUUUGAUCAUGGCUCAGAUUGAACGCUGGCGGCAUGCCUAACACAUGCAAGUCGAACGGAGGGCUUCNGCCCUCAGUGGCGGACGGGUGAGGAACACGUAGGAAUCGGCCCACGAGUGGGGGACAACCUGGGGAAACUCAGGCUAAUACCGCAUACGCUCGCGAGAGGAAAGCGGGGGACCUUCGGGCCUCGCGCUGGUGGACGAGCCUACGUCCGAUUAGCUAGUUGGUGGGGUAACGGCCUACCAAGGCGACGAUCGGUAGCGGGUCUGAGAAGACGACCCGCCACACUGGGACUGAGACACGGCCCAGACUCCUACGGGAGGCAGCAGUGGGGAAUAUUGGACAAUGGGCGCAAGCCUGAUCCAGCAAUGCCGCGUGGGUGAAGACGGCCUGCGGGUUGUAAAGCCCUUUAGGCGGGGAGGAACGGUCGGGUGCCAAUACCACCCGGCGCUGACGUUACCCGCAGAAUAAGCACCGGCUAACUCCGUGCCAGCAGCCGCGGUAAUACGGAGGGUGCGAGCGUUAAUCGGAAUUACUGGGCGUAAAGCGUGCGUAGGCGGUAGCGUCAGUCAGCCGUGAAAGCCCCGGGCUUAGCCUGGGAACGGCGGUUGAGACGGCGCAACUAGAGUGGGCUAGAGGAUCGUGGAAUUCCGGGUGUAGCGGUGAAAUGCGUAGAGAUCCGGAGGAACACCGAUGGCGAAGGCAGCGGUCUGGGGCCACACUGACGCUGAGGCACGACAGCGUGGGGAGCAAACAGGAUUAGAUACCCCGGUAGU
rnacentral:rRNA from 1 species